rnacentral:rRNA from 1 species
AUUGAACGCUGGCGGAAUGCUUUACACAUGCAAGUCGAACGGCAGCACGGACUUCGGUCUGGUGGCGAGUGGCGAACGGGUGAGUAAUACAUCGGAACGUGCUCAGUCGUGGGGGAUAACGUAGCGAAAGCUACGCUAAUACCGCAUACGAUCUAAGGAUGAAAGCGGGGGAUCGCAAGACCUCGCGCGAUUGGAGCGGCCGAUGGCAGAUUAGGUAGUUGGUGGGGUAAAGGCUCACCAAGCCGACGAUCUGUAGCUGGUCUGAGAGGACGACCAGCCACACUGGGACUGAGACACGGCCCAGACUCCUACGGGAGGCAGCAGUGGGGAAUUUUGGACAAUGGGCGCAAGCCUGAUCCAGCCAUUCCGCGUGCAGGAUGAAGGCCCACGGGUUGUAAACUGCUUUUGUACGGAACGAAAAGGCUCUGGUUAAUACCUGGGGCUCAUGACGGUACCGUAAGAAUAAGCACCGGCUAACUACGUGCCAGCAGCCGCAGUAA